ensembl:lncRNA
GAACUGCUGAGUCAUGGUCUGAACCACUAAUUGAGUGCCUGGAGACAAGACCAGGUCAGCCCUGGAAGCGCAGGUGAAGGUAGUUCACAUCUUAGACCUCAUUUAAGGGCUGACUGACACUGAGAAAGGGUCUUUUGCUGGAGAUCCCUCUUCUGUGGAGUUUUUUCUGCAAGCCUAGAUCUUCAGAAAUGGGAGGACCUAAGCCUUCCUUGUCGAAAUCUGUGUUACAGCAGACAUUCAGCUGCCUUCCUUCUAAUGAUGAACUUCUGUGCAUUGGAUAAGACAACGACUGCUGUUGUCAUGCAUCCAUUAAAAUCCCAUCCACAGAACCAUGUACGGAGAAAGGUGGCUGGCUGGGAGCUGCAAACUUCCAAAGAAUUUGUUUGUUGUGAUGUUUUUUUCCUCUCUGGAGUGCUGGAUUCAUAAUAUUUGCAGUAUUGUGUUACUGUUGAUGUACCUCAAUGAAACGGAGAGAAAAUUCAAGAAAUAUGAAUUGAUUGUAUGAAGCAACAUAUGCAAAUACUGAAAAUAAAAGCUGCCAACAUUGUGACAGGAAUGGCAUUAGCAGAUGAGUCAGGAGUGUGAUGAAGCCAUAUGGCCUUGUGAUUAUGUUGAAACUAAGGAUAGCUACUCAAGGGAUUACAUGCUCUUCUACUUCUGAGAAUGAAGAAUGUGCACUGUGAGCACUUUAGUGUCCUGGUCAGCUACAUCACCCUUUGCAGCAUCUGUGAAAAUCAAGGAAAGGUUCAAUACUUUCCUCAUGAGGAUAAAUCAUGUAAGAACCAGAAAGAGCACAGCAGGUUGAUUGAAUGUGAAAAGUGCAUAUUGGUAAGCAUUGAGAAUAGAAGAUAAAUGCAAUUGAGUUAUAACAUAGGAACAGUCUCACUAGAGAACACAGUAAGAUUAAAUGCUAGAGGAUGUCCAAAAACUAAUCAUGUCCUCUUCCACAGUAGAAAUGCCUAUAACACCAUGCUGAGAUGGUAGUAGCUCAAGUGAGUGCCAUCUGACAACAGUUUAAAAGGUAUUUCUUUGGCUUUCAUCUGACUAAACUUAUCUCAUGAAAAGUCUGUGUUCUGACAAGAACUCAGCAUUGUUAAGAAGGAACCUGGAGAAAAAUCAGAUCACAGAAUCAUAGAAUCAUCGUCUAGUUUAACUGUCCACCUACCACCAAUAUUUCUCCAUUAAACCAUGUCCCUUCGUACAACAUCUAAACAUUUCCUGAACACCUCCAGGGCUGGUGACUCAACCACCUCCCUGGGGAGCCCCUUCCAGUGCCUGACCACUCUUUUGGAGAAUAAUAUUUUCCUAAUAUCCAGCCUGAACCUCCCCGGCAAAACUUGAGGCCAUUCCCUCUAGCACCAUUACUAGUUAUGCUGGAGAAAAGGUUGGCCCCCACCUCACCACAACUUCCUUUCAGGUAGCUGUAGAGCUAUAAGAUCUUCCCUGAACCUCCUCUUCUCCAGACUAAACAAUACACGUUCCCUUAGCCAUUCCUUGUAAGAUUUGUGCUCUAGCCCCCCCCAUGGCCUUUGUUGCCCUUCUCUGGACAAGUUCCAGGGCCUCACUGUCUUUCUGUUAGUGAGGGGUACAAAACUGAACACAGUACUCAAGGUGCUGCUUCACUAGAGCUGAGUACAGACGAACAAUCGCUUUCCUACUCCUACUGGCAACGCUAUUUCUGAUACAAGACAGGAUGCCAUUGACCUCACUGUCCACCCGGGCUCAUGUUCAGCCAAGUGUUGACCAACGCCUCCAGGACCCCAAAUCAGACACAAGCUGGUUUUAUUAUCUAAUUUUCAGUGUUUAUGGAAGAUGCAACUUAAUUUAAAAGGUCUGAAUGCCUCUUUUCUUUCCCUGUCGUUCAUGAGAACAAUCAAACAGAUCCUCACAGAUUUCAAGAACCAGAACCCAGCGUGAACACCAGAAUGAUAAGGGGAAACAUUCAGAUGCUUUCAAUGGCAAAAGAAAAUUCAUAAACUGCUUAUAAUGAAGAAGUGAUUGUUGAAAAUUGAGUUUUCUGUUCUUGUACUUUACUGGCAUUCAGCUCUUCAAAGCGAUAGCAAAUAUUCUAUUGGUUAACAUUUAACCCAAACUAAUAGGUCCAAUCUCACAUUCUCAAAUAAAUCAUAAUGUCUUUUCAAUUAGUUUGCACUUUCACUGGCUGCUGUCCUGAAUAAUUAGGAAAACAAUUCACAUUUCACUAGGAGAUGAUAUGAAGUGUUAUUCCUGUGAUAAUUAGCGAGCUGCAGUUCAGCUUCCCUGGCUCCCACCAGGUCAUCAGGGCACAAAAGAGGACACCAUGAGAGCAUUAAUGAGCUCUCAUUGAAGAUGUUAAAAAGCUUGUAUUGAUCUGUUUGUCCAAGAAGGAGAUAUUUAAGCCUUUCUGCUGAGGGCAGGAGAGACAGAGAUUCAUAUCACAAAGCCUUUUAUCCAACCCCUUCUGUUUCUGGCUUCAAUAUUGCCCAGUCUCAGCAUGUCUGGUUCUAGAGGUCAUACUUUUAAACUUUCACAACAUUUUUUUUCUUUUCCCCUUUCUUCUUUUUGUUUAAAAAAAAAAAAAAAAAAAAAAAAAGGAAAGAAAGAAAAAAGGGUAAUAUACAGUGUACACUUAACCUUUACUACAGGGAUCCCUUUACACAGCUCGCUGUUUCUGAGAACAGGCUUCAGUGCAGUAAGAUUUCCGUUCUCACUCUAUCCCGCUCACAUUCAUCUCAAUUAAAUUCAGAGAGUCUAGACAAUACAAGGACCAACUCAGUGCAAAUUUUUGCUCAUAGUUUGGAAGAACAUCCAACAAAAUCACUUUUUUUGGAUGUUCAAUCAGACUUUUCUCUCUAUUGUCACCGCCUUUUUUGUGAACUCCUGGACUUACUAUUUCUAGCUGGAAGUAGAAGUGAAAGAAGUAAGUGUAAGGCUGCAAAAUCACCAUUUCUUGUGGUAUUUUCACAUGAGGGUUCUCACUGCAGGAAAGGGAGGCAAAUCCUGUCCUGCCUUCAACACUCUGCAUUGUUAUGAUAUAUUGCAGCUGUAAACUUGUUCUGGGUACACUUACCUACUCACCAAUUUUGUCUACUCUCUUUUAAGUGCCACAAUGAGCUGUCAGUGAGGAUUCCCAGCCUGCCUGUGAUAGAGUUUGGGAUGAAUUUUCAUAUAACUGUAAAAGCUGUGGGUUUUUUGUUUUGUUUUGUUUUUGUUGUUGCUUUUUAAUUAUUAUCAUCCUUCUUACUUGAACUAGCUAUGGUCUCACUCAGCAAGAUCGUAUCUCUCUUUUCAUAGUAUCUCAUUCACAUUCAACUCUGUAGGAGCAAUUCAGCGGGUCCAUUUGUGUGUAUCCAUUGUAAAUGGCCAAUGAAGUAAUACUCUGGGACCUCUAGAUGAAUGCAGAAUCCUCAGUACACUUCUUUGUUUUUUCAUGGUCUGCCUCACCUGACACAGCAGGCUGGUGGAUGAACCUCACAACCAACAUUGGGAAUUCUGCAGCCUGCUUCUACUUACCUUGUAUCAACUCAAGAUAAUCAGUUUCAGAUGAAAAUAAACAUGAAUGAAUGCACACACAAAUUAUUCUUGCUGUGAUGUGAUGCAGUAAUCUCCAGUUUGGGAACUGAGCUGGCAAAAGAGGUCAUAUGCAUCCUUCCACUUGUGACCAUUUAAAAAAGAUGUGAGGGAACGAUUCAUGAACAAGUAAAAUUGGACAUGGGUAGCAAAUAGUGACCCUCGGUGAGUGACAACUGAGGUUAUGUGGAUGAAUACUAAACAUGAAAAGCCUGAAUUAUUCAUGGGAGGUUCAAGGUAAAAGGGU